GCCGUGAUCGUAUAGUGGUUAGUACUCUGCGUUGUGGUCGCAGCAACCCCGGUUUCGAAUCCGGGUCACGGCA